rnacentral:sRNA from 1 species
AGCUCGGCCGGCAGCCUCCAGGCUGCUUGAGGAUUGGCUCCGGCCUCUGACCACGGAUGUACUGGCAGGUGCCGUUGAGGCAAUUUUGGGAAGGCCGGGGAAACCCGGCCUUUUUUAUU